rnacentral:lncRNA from 1 species
GUGGUGGAUCUAGCUAAUGCCUUCUUCAGUGUCCCCCUUGACCCUUCAUGUCGUUUCCUCUUUGCCUUCACCCAUGAAGGACAGCAAUACACCUGGACUGUCAUGCCUCAGGGGGCUCAGAAUUCCCCUACACAAUUUGCACACGCCAUGUCACUGGUGUUGGAACCCUGGCAACAAUCUCAUUUGGAUGUCGUCCUGCUUCAAUAUGUUGAUGAUCUCCUUCUCUGUGCUCCUGAUUUUCUCACUGCGGAGCGUGAUUCAGAAG